rnacentral:tRNA from 1 species
ACAGUGGGUGUUCAGUGGUGGAAUUCCAGCCUCUCAUGCCGGAAUCCCGGGUUUGAUUCCCGGCCAGUGCA